AAUGCGAGCCGAGAACAGCUGCGCGCCCGCCUCGCGUUCAGAACCCGGAGCGAGAGGCGCUUCAGAGACUGGAGGGACGGACCUGCAGCAGCCAGGGCUGCCCGCGAGCUGCAGUUGCCGCUGCUGCCGCCGUCGCGCUGCUGCCGCCGCCGUUGCUGUCAGCACCCUCUGAAGAGUGACAGCACCGCAAAAGCGGGAGGGAACACAGAACCCCGCGCCUUUAUGAAACAGGUGGAUGCGCCCAUCUCCUGGUGAGUGGACCCAGCUCGCAAGGUAGCCAUUCAUGAGCCUGAGGCUGUGAGAAAUGCUCGCUGUGCAAAGGGGAACUCUCACCAGAUUUUCUGAAGCUGUCCUAGAAAUACACUUUUCAGAUUGAUUCAGCAUUACCAGCUUAUCCAACAAAAGUAUUAACAUAUACAUUAACAACGUCGAAAGUAGCCUACUUUAAGAGAAAAUAUGCAGAAGAAGAAGAUUUACAUCAAGAUUACCAUGGGUAUUUUCCAAAACACCUGAUAUUACCCGAGGACAGGACUUGCAUUCUUAAACUCUCUCUGGAGAAGCUCAGGUUUCUUGAAGACCCAGAAACCUACUUAAGAAGGUCUGUGUUAAUUAACAAUUUGCUGAGGAAGAUCCAUCUAGAGACGGAGAAGGAGAGCUAUGAAUACUUUAAAGAAGCUCCCUGUUAUAAGACUGCUUAUUCUGAUACAAGAAAACGGCUGAAGUUUAUGGUACAGGAAUGCUGUUCUCAGUCUCUCUAUUAUGAAGAGCUGCAUUCGUAUCAUAUUGUGCCUUAUGCGUCGGAGAAUGCCAUCUAUGGAAUGGGCUACACUAGCAGCCACUUGGAGCAAAAUUCUCAGUUGCUUAUUUAUAAAAUGAAUUAAAGUAACUGUUACAGUCCAUUGAUACCUUGUUUCUAAAUGCCUGAACUGUUUAUAGUGAUGAUGUUAACAUAAGGCACUAAUUACCAGUGCCCUUGAGAUCAAAGAUGAGAUGCAUGCUGAACUGACUGGAGAGAACCCUGGUUACUAUUCAGCAGUCCUUAGUAUCAUCCAGCCAAACUGAAAAUAUGUCCACAUAUUAUAAAGCAGAGAAUAAGUGCUUUAGAAGCAAACAGUUUUUAAAGAUAAGAUGUGUAGGAAAGGGGACCUAUAUCAAGUUUUUACACAGACUCAUUUCAAGCCCCCUAUUUCCAAAUUCUACCACUCUUAGUGGAAAGUAACAAAAAGUAACAGAUUCAGAUUGAACAGAUAAUGUCUUGUCCCUGAGGAUUAAGGAUGGAAUGAAUUUAAUUUUCUGUAAAUGAUGAGAGGAAGGGUAGGUUCUUUCUGAAAGGCUUUGGCUUGUCAAGCAUCGUGCCAAAUAAGUGGUUGACACCAUUCUCCUUUUACCAUUAGUGGCAAUUCAAGACGGGGGCAAACAUACUGCAAUUUAACUGCUGAAUGUAACAACCAGAACACUCCACACUGAUCCAUUUUACUUUUUUUUUUUUUUGGCUUGAUAGAGUUUUCUUUUUAAAAGUGAAAUUUAAGAAAAUAGCCUUGCAGGUGGGCUUACCUGUAAGUUCUAGAGGUCAGUUAAGAUUUGUGGUGGGCCUUAAGGUGAGUUUAAUUUUAUUUGUAAUGUCAUUCUUACAGGCUAUGAAGCUCAGGAAAAGGGUAGGCAGAUAACAUUUGAUUUUAACAGGCAGAUAAUUUAAAAAAUCUUAUCUGCAAAAAAUUGAUGAGGACAACAGAAAUUCUACAUGAUGUUAUUUCUUCAUGUAAGAGUUGAUUUAAGGCUGUCUGGAUGAAACUUUGCACUGAUUUUUGUAUAAUAGUCGACCAUUCACUAUUUGACAAAAUGUCUCAGAAUGCCUUUGAUGGUGAAGUUUAGAUACGUUCCUAUAUUUUGCAAUUUUAAAGAUAAUUCUUUAACAAGUUGGAUAGAUCCUGAAAUGUUUGAAAUGCUCCAUAAUGUUCUUGGAGGUUUGAGUAAGAUGUCUGAUUUCAGUGUCUGGAGUUAUGUUCUGUGGCGUAUAUCAUUUUAAGAAUUGUCAUUAACUGAUAAAACAGAUUGGAAAACUAGGUGCCAAAGGUAUAUUCAAGAAAAUACCAAAGACCCAAAGAUGAGUAUUGGAGAGACCAGGAUAAUGAAGGUCAGAAUCUAAAGUCAGGGUUGCACGGGGCAUGGAAAAAUAUUGUUAACAUUAAAGGGUUUUGGAACGAGUUGCUUACUAAUUAUGUGCUUUCAGAGCACUUUAUACUUAUUGAUAAUCAAGGGCACUGCUUGGACCUUCAGUGAUCACAUGUUUUCGCAAAUCUAAAUAUGGUGACUUGUCACCGUUGUAUCUUUCCUUGUUGAAUGCCAUCUUGUAACCAAGAAGGCUUUUAUCUCUUCAAGAGAAUUUUGCUUUUAGUUUUAAUUCACUAUUUGCUCCCUCUGAUAAAUUAUCUGGGUGAUUAACAUGGAUGUUUUUGGUAUAAAAAAUAUUGAUGCCCUAAUUAGCAUGCAUUGUUAAAAGAUACAUAAUUGAUAAAAGUAUCAGGUUUAUAUUUAAUUGCUCAAUCAGAGUCAGGAAAAACUGCUUUAGAACAAAUUGAAAAAUUAUAAUUGAGGCUAAUUUUUAAGGAAAUUCAAUAUGAAUGGUGAGAUAGCUUUGACACACAAAUAUAGAUAUUUAAAAAUUAAUUUAAGGACAAAAUUUGUCAGCAAAGUUCAAAAACUUAAUUUUACUGUUUAGGCCAUACCUUAUUUCUCAGAAUGCACCUAUUAAAACAUAGAUUUCUUAAACAAUGGGGCUCUUAAUUGAAUAAACUCCAAAGUUGGUGGAAUAAUUAUGUUAUUAUAUACUUUUUUAAAAAAAUAGAAUUAGCUCUCUAAUAUUUUAAAACUUUUUACCAAAAGGGGCAGUUGGCUUGGGUUAGGACAGUAUCAGUAAGGAAAACACACCAGUGUGAGCGGAUGUGACUUACAGAAAUGCCACCUAUUGAAAUUGCUUGAGGAUAGAAAUGCAUAUAUUUUGGUAUAGAAAGAGAGGGAGAG